rnacentral:lncRNA from 1 species
CAACAUCUAUUUUGAACAUAAAAUUCCUAAUUUGAAAAAAAUUAAAUAAAUAAAAAAUAAUAAUUUUUUAACUAAAUACUAAACAUUAAAAGAAAAUAAAAUUCUUGAUCCAGUAGCACAGACACUGUCAGCAGUCUCAACCUCCAACUCCGAUCCACCAAGCAUCUGAAAAUAUAAUUUUAGAAUAUGGAGUGAGCAUAUGGAUAUACUCGAUAUAGAUUUCAUGCCUGUAUUUUCAUAAUUUAAUAUAAAAAUAUGAACAUAACAUAAUUUUCUAGUGGGAUAGAAAUCUGACCGUCUCAUUUUCAUUUAGGUCAUACCCAUUCUCAAUCUCCACAUAAGGUGUUUAACCCUAUGUCUGAUUUCUGUAUAGAUUUACAUAAUAAUAUCAUAUGUUAUUACCCACAAGAUCCUUCUCUAAUUGAAUACCAAGUGAUUUACAUAAUAGCACAUAGAAUACUUAAACUUAAAACAUUAAAAAGUGAAAAUAUAAAAUCACUUGGCAUUUAAAGAAAUCCAUACCUAAUUCGUGAAAUUCCUCGUGUACUUGAAUUACUUAGGACUUAAAAUUCUUGCGAACGGAUCUCGAACGCGUUAGAAAGUCUUUUCUUUUCUUUCCUUUUCCUUUCUUUUUCUUUCUUCUCACUCCCCCUUUUUCCUCUCUCAUGUUUUUCUCUCUUACUCUUUUCCCCCCAGUCUCUCCGUCUCUACCUCUUCUUUUAUCUCUUUUUGCUAUUCUUGUUCUCU